rnacentral:lncRNA from 14 species
UGGGUUGGAUGGAAGAAGGCAUCACUGGCUUGGAGGGGGAAGCUGUUGGGUGGGAUGAGGGAAGACACCAUUGGGUUAGAUAGGGAAGACUGCUGGGCUUGAUGGGAGAAGACAUCAUAAAGUUGGAUUGGGAAGACACUGUUGGGAUGGAUGGAAGAUACUGGGUUGGAUUGGGAAAACACCAUUGGGUUGGAUAGGGAAGACACUGUUGGGAUGGAUGGAAGAUACUGGGUUGGACUGGGAAAACACCAUUGGGUUGGAUAGGGAAGACUGCUGGGCUCAAUGGAAGAAGACAUCAUUGGGUUGGAUUGGAAAGACACUGUUGGGAUGGAUGGAAGAAGGUAUCAUUGAGCUGGACUGGGAAGAUGCUGUGGGGUGGGAUACAGGAAGACACCAUUGGUUGGGAUUCAUGGAGCAGCCCAUGGGCUCCUCACCUCCACACCAGCUUCCCCAUGGACAACGGUGGUGGCACCAUGAUCCAAAGCCAUCGGGAUGGGGACAGCAGGGGCCACCUCCACCUCUGCACCACCACCAGGAGCUCAAGGAUGCUCCCAUUCCGGGACUGGUAUUCCCAUCCCAGGUCAUUCCUAGCCCUGGCUCCCCCCUCUCCAGCCCCUCUUCGUGCUCCUCUCACCCCAACAUCCCUGCUCGGAACAGGGAUUCCGAUCCCAUGGGAAGGGCGGUUGGGAUCCCGCCCCCCCCGCUGCUGUGUUUCGGGAAUGCAAUCCCUGUGCAGCACCCUGAGAUCAAAUCCCCAUUGGAAUGGGGGGGGAUGGAUGGGACGUGUGUGUGCAGCCGGAUGGGAGCGGGCAGAGCCCUGGAGCAGGAAGAGGAGGGUGUGGGAGGAAGGCGCCCGGAGCCGCCGGAUCCUGGAAAACCAAAGGGGUUUUCCCUGAGCUGCCCCGUAUCCAACGGGAUUGGUUUGGGGGGAGCCGCCUCCAGCCCCGCUCUGUGCCCCCUUCCAUGCGGAUCCCGGGGGGGAAGCGCCAGCUCCCACGGCCCCUUUUUGGGGCUGAUUCCUCUGAAAUCCAGCAGGGAUGGAGGAAAACGAGACAUAUCCCUGAGGAGAAGCUCCGGAGCCGUGGCCGGGACCCGCUGAGCUCGGAGCCCCGCAUGGAGCGGGGAAAGAAGGCU